UACAGAGGUCUCAAGCGUUGUUCGGAUUCAUUGGGCGUAAAGGGUGCGUAGGCGGCGCGGUAAGUCGGGUGUGAAAUCUCGGAGCUUAACUCCGAAACUGCAUUCGAUACUGCGGCGCUUGAGGACUGGAGAGGAGACUGGAAUUCAUGGUGUAGCAGUGAAAUGCGUAGAGAUCAUGAGGAAGACCAGUGGCGAAGGCGGGUCUCUGGACAGUUCCUGACACUGAGGCACGAAGGCCAGGGGAGCAAACGGG
rnacentral:rRNA from 1 species